ensembl:lncRNA LINC00320 long intergenic non-protein coding RNA 320
GUUCUUUAGUAGAAGGAUAACAUGACAUAGCAGGAAUAAUACUGCCUUUUCUUUCUGGCAUGGAUCAAGAGAAAAGAAAAUACAAGAAAACAGACAGAAGAUCCUAUCUGCGACAAUUAAGAGCACUCUAAGAGGAAAACACAUCCCACCACACAAGGCAAGGUACUUCUAUGGAAGGGUGAGCCCUCACAGAUGGAGCAAUGGGGCGCGCACACCUGAACAAGGGAGGGGAAGGAGUUCUUAUCCCUGAUGCAUGUGACCCCUGCUGCUGUGUCCUUCCCCUAUUGGCUAAGGCUUCUGACAGCUUUGGAGAUUGUGACAUUGGAAUAAAGGAAAAACGUACAGGACUCAUGAAGCGCUGAAAUGUUCACAAAUAUCAAGCAAAAGUCAAUGAAAUUUAUUUUGAGCUAUUUACAUCAUUUAAUAAUUGAGCAAGGUAUACUCCUAUGAACAAAAUUUGGAGCAUGUUUGUCUCUCUCUGCCUGGCGUCUUCAGAAUUUGGAAACUAGUUAUGGUUUAUAAUCAGCUAUAGAAUUUUAACACGUGCUCUCAAAUGCAAGUUUCUGAUAACUUUGGAGAUUGUGACAUUGGAAUAAAGGAAGAGCUGGAAUGUUCAUGAAUAUCAAGCAAAAGUCAUGGAAAUUUAUUUUGAGCUAUUUACAGCAUUUAAUAAUUGAGCAAGGUAUACUCCUAUGAACAAAAUUUGGAGCAUGUUUGUCUCUCUCUGUCUGCCUGGCAUCUACAGAAUUUGGAAACUAGUUGUGCUGUACUGCAUGAGAAUGCCUGCAUUUAGUAUGCGAACUGGAAUUGGCAAAGGACGAUGGCUGCUCUCCCGCUAACUUUAAAUAAGUCAUGUCACAAAUUGCAUGUAAGACUUAUAAAAUAUUAACGUUGGGAGACACUGAAACAAAUCAGUAUUUCUAUUAACCUGCGAAAAGAUCUUCCAAAUAUAUAACCAAAGUAACUAAAACAAAUACUAAAAAGAGUUUACUUUUAAAACUAGGUUUAUGAAAUAUUUUCCCCAAGUUUGCAUGAUUAUUAGAAAAGUGGCUUAAAGAGUAAAGAAAAACUGGAAUCUUGUUGACCCCAAGUACUCCUCUAACCCUUUUGCUCUGCUGUUACAAUGGACCAGUAAAUCUUCAAACAUAACACCUCUUAAAUUAAAAACAGAAAUGGUGUAGAUUGCACACAUUACAACAUUUUUUUAGGCUUACUUCUUUUUUUCAAUAUUAAAGCUUAUUUUUCACACAUUACUUAAUGUUGCCUGUUAAAAAGUGGUGCUUAUAUUUGUGUAGCUAUCUGUUUGAUGGUGGUUUAGUUUAGGAAAUAAAUCACACAGUGACAAUUGGUUGUUUUUUUUGUUUGUUUGUUGAUUGGUUUUCUGUACUAGAAAGGAUGCAUAGUCAAGCAAAGGUGGAUAAUUAUAAACAGCCUAACAGUAUCUAGACUCAGUCUGCUUUCUUUGCAAUUAGUAGACAAGAGGGAAAAGAUUAAAGAUAUAGUGAACUCUAUAA